UGAUCCGUUGUUUUGUUUUGCGCUCUUAAUGUGACGGGCGAGCGACUUCUUGUGAGCACAAAUGUGGCUGACUAGCCGCGUGUUGUUUAUGUGGAGAUAAACGAACUGAGGCGUGUUUUCCAUUCCAACUGUCAGCGAGAAAGAUAUUGUCGUGACCCGAGAACUACAAAGCGGAGUAGGAAGCAGGACCAAACUCCCUUCCAGGCACUGCUUUUUUUUAACUCUUUGACAAACCUCUUUUCAAACUCUUUUUUGAACUCUUUUACGAACCUCUUUUUGAACUCUUUAACGACCCCGUCCCUUUGGAAACAGCUGUGGCCAUGCGGUCAGGGGAGGUCCAAGUAAAAGGAGGAGGCGUGCAAUCUUUUGGCAGAGCGCGAUGAUACUGUACACGGAUGUCAUCGGUGUUUGAACCUGGCACCCAUGGUUCAGCUUUUUCCAUGAAGCUGAACGUGCUACGCUGCACCCUACAAAGCGUUUACACUGUAAGUAUUGCGCUUACUACACACCAGCUGUUUGAUUGCAACGUGCAUAU